CAGUUCGGAUUGUAGUCUGNAACCCGACUACAUGAAGCUGGAAUCGCUAGUAAUCGCGGAUCAGAAUGCCGCGGUGAAUACGUUCCCGGGUCUUGUACACACCGCCCGUCACACCAUGGGAGUCGGAAAUGCCCGAAGUCUGUGACCCAACCGUAAGGAGGGAGCAGCCGAAGGCAGGUCGGAUGACUGGGGUGAAGUCGUAACAAGGUACC
rnacentral:rRNA from 1 species